UUAUGGCCAUAUCGCAUUGAAAUAAUGGCUCCCAUAUGAUCACCAAAGUUAAGCAAUGUCGAGCCUGGCAAGUAUCUAAAUGAGUGGCUGCUUGAGAAUAUCAGGUGUUGUAAG